rnacentral:rRNA from 1 species
AUUGACCGCUGGCGGCAGGCUUAACACAUGCAAGUCGAGCGAGCGGCGGACGGGUGAGUAAUGUCUGGGAAACUGCCUGAUGGAGGGGGAUAACUACUGGAAACGGUAGCUAAUACCGCAUACCAUCAGAUGUGCCCAGAUGGGAUUAGCUAGUAGGUGGGGUAAUGGCUCACCUAGGCGACGAUCCCUAGCUGGUCUGAGGGGAUGACCAGCCACACUGGAACUGCGACAAGGGCCGGACACAUAAGGGAGGCAGCAGUGGGGAAUGUUGCACAAUGGGCGCAAGCCUGAUGCAGCCAUGCCGCGUGUGUGAAGAAGGCCUUCGGGUUGUAAAGCACUUUCAGCGAGGAGGCGUUACUCGCAGAGGAAGCACCGGCUAACUCCGUGCCAGCAGCAGCGGUAAUAC